UACGUAGGGUGCGAGCGUUGUCCGGAAUUAUUGGGCGUAAAGAGCUCGUAGGCGGUCUGUCGCGUCGAUCGUGAAAACUUGGGGCUUAACCCUGAGCUUGCGGUCGAUACGGGCAUGACUGGAGUUCGGCAGGGGAGACUGGAAUUCCUGGUGUAGCGGUGAAAUGCGCAGAUAUCAGGAGGAACACCGGUGGCGAAGGCGACGUCCUGGACCGGUAUUGACGCUGAGGCGCGAAAGCCAGGGGAGCAAACGGG
rnacentral:rRNA from 1 species